rnacentral:rRNA from 1 species
GUGCCAGCCGUCGCGGUAAUACCGGCAGCUCAAGUGAUGUCCCAUAUUAUUGGGCCUAAAGCGUCCGUAGCUGGGUCUGAAAGUCCAUCGGGAAAUCCACUCGCUCAACGAGUGGCCGUCCGGUGGAAACUCCACACCUUGGGACCGGAAGGCUCGAAGGGUACGGCCGGGGUAGGAGUGAAAUCCUGUAAUCCCGUCCGGACCACCGAUGGUGAAAGCACUUCGAGAAAACGGAUCCGACAGUGAGGGACGAAAGCCAGGGUCUCCAACCGGAUUAGAUACCCGGGUAGUCC